AUGCAAGGGCGAAACAUUUUGGAUGGUGUUGCUGUCCUUCAUGAAACAGUCCAUGAGCUUCAUCAUAAAAAAUUGAAUGGAGUCAUUUUUAAAAUCGACUUCGAGAAAGCUUAUGAUAAAGUAAAGUGGCCCUUUUUGUUACAAACAUUACGUAUGGAAGGGUUUUUCGAUACUUGGUGUCGAUGGGUUGAGAGCUUUGUGUCCGGAGGUAGCGUAGCUAUUAAGGUAAACGACGAUGUAGGCAACUAUUUCCAGACAAGGAAGGGGCUCCGUCAAGGGGACCCCGCAUCACCCAUUCUGUUUAAUAUUGUGGCUGAUAUGUUAGCUACUCUUAUUGAGAGGGCCAAGUUAGCAGGUCAAGUCACCGGGGUCAUUCCUCAUUUAGUAGAAGGAGGCCUAUCAAUUUUACAAUAUGCGGAUGACACCAUUUUGUUCCUGGACCAUGACUUAGAAAAGGCCAGAAACCUUAAAUUG
rnacentral:rRNA from 1 species